GUGCUCCUACGGGACGCAGCAGUCGAGAAUCAUUCACAAUGGGGGAAACCCUGAUGGUGCGGCGCCGCGUGGGGGAAUGAAGGUCUUCGGAUUGUAAACCCCUGUCAUGUGGGAGCAAAUUAAAAAGAUAGUACCACAAGAGGAAGAGACGGCUAACUCUGUGCCAGCAGCCGCGGUAACACAGAGGUCUCAAGCGUUGUUCGGAAUCACUGGGCGUAAAGCGUGCGUAGGCUGUUUCGUAAGUCGUGUGUGAAAGGCGCGGGCUCAACCCGCGGACGGCACAUGAUACUGCGAGACGAGAGUAA
rnacentral:rRNA from 1 species